rnacentral:rRNA from 1 species
AUUGAACGCUGGCGGAAUGCUUUACACAUGCAAGUCGAGCGGCAGCGCGGCCUUCGGGCUGGCGGCGAGCGGCGAACGGGUGAGUAAUGCAUCGGAACAUGCCCAGUUGUGGGGGAUAACACUUCGAAAGAAGUGCUAAUACCGCAUACGUCCUGAGGGGGAAAGCGGGGGAUCGCAAGACCUCGCGCGAUUGGAGUGGCCGAUGUCAGAUUAGCUAGUUGGUGGGGUAAAGGCCUACCAAGGCGACGAUCUGUAGCUGGUCUGAGAGGAUGAUCAGCCACACUGGGACUGAGACACGGCCCAGACUCCUACGGGAGGCAGCAGUGGGGAAUUUUGGACAAUGGGGGCAACCCUGAUCCAGCCAUUCCGCGUGAGUGAAGAAGGCCUUCGGGUUGUAAAGCUCUUUCGGCAGGAACGAAACGGUGGGCUCUAACAUAGUCCGCUAAUGACGGUACCUGAAGAAGAAGCACCGGCUAACUACGUG